ACCAAGGGGCGCGCGAGAUGAAAUAGUUCUCUCCUGGGAUGCGCCACGCAGGGGUAGCGGUAAAACCACCCACUAUGAAAGGAGACAUGAGUGAUGAAAUCUACUUUUCCUUCCCACGAUGAGAGCUCAAUGUUGUGUACCUAGCAAGUGCCCAUUAGAUUCUUCAGAAAUGAAAACGAAUUCUGCUGUCUGUCAUUCUGUACUCUCAGCUAGUCCCCAGAGCUAUGUUCCUGCAGAAAUCCUCAAGUCUUCUGCAGACAGAGUCGUUUGAGAACAGGUAAAUUUAUUGGAGUCUGAACUUGUGAUCUCAUCAGAGAACUCAACUAAUCUUGCAAGACUUGUCUCCCAGCUCUAAGGGAGAAGAAAAACACCAAGAAGUUGAACUGCUGGAUCAUAUCGUAGUUCUGGUUUUCAGUUUUUGAAGAAACCUUCAUUGUCUUCAUAGUGGCUGCACCGAUGUACAUUCCUACCAACACCGCAUGAGGGUUUCCUUUUCUCUACAUCCUCACUAACAUUUCUUACUUGUUGUCUUUUUGAUAAUAGCUACUUGUCAGGUAUGAGGAAGUACUUCAUUGAGGUCUUGAUUUUCUAAUACCUGAUGAGGAAUUGUUGAGCAUCUUUUCAUAUGUCUAUUGGCCAUCUGUAUCUCUUCUUUGGAGAAAUGUCUAUUCAGUGCUUGCCUCAUUUUAAAAUCGGGUUUUAUGUUUUUUUCAUAAUACAUUCUGUGAAUCCUUUAGCUAUUUUGAAAAUCUACCUCUUUUCGGAUGUAUGUAUC
ensembl:lncRNA